UACGUAGGGGGCUAGCGUUGUCCGGAAUCAUUGGGCGUAAAGAGCGUGUAGGUGGCUUGGUAAGUCCGCUGUGAAAGUCCAGGGCUCAACCCUGGAAAGCCGGUGGAAACUGUCAAGCUCGAGUGCGUGAGGGGUAACCGGAACGAGCAGUGUAGCGGUGAAAUGCGUAGAUAUUGCUCGGAAGGCCAACGGCGAAGGCAGGUUACUGGUGCGCAGCUGACACUGAGGCACGAAAGCGUGGGGAGCAAACAGG
rnacentral:rRNA from 1 species